AUUGAACGCUGGCGGUAGGCCUAACACAUGCAAGUCGAGCGAGCGGCGGACGGGUGAGUAAUGUAUGGGGAUCUGCCUGAUGGCGGGGGAUAACUACUGGAAACGGUAGCUAAAACCGCAUACCAUCAGCUGAACCCAUAUGGGAUUAGCGUGUAGGUGAGGUAACGUCUCACCUAGGCAACGAUCCAUAGCUGGUCUGAGAGGAUGAUCGGCCACACUGGAACUGAGACACGGCCCAGACUCCUACGGGAGGCAGCAGUGGGGAAUCUUGCGCAAUUGGCGAAAGCCUGAUGGAGCAACGCCGCGUGUGUGAAGAAGGCCUUCGGGUCGUAAAGUUCUUUCAUUAGGGAGGCGUUACCUACACAAGAAGCAACGGCUAACUCCGUGCCAGCAGCCGCGGUAAUUC
rnacentral:rRNA from 1 species